UACAGAGGUCCCAAGCGUUGUUCGGAUUCACUGGGCGUAAAGGGUGCGUAGGCGGUCGGGUAAGUCUGAUGUGAAAUCUCACAGCUUAACUGUGAAACUGCAUUGGAUACUAUCCGGCUAGAGGAAUGGAGGGAGACUGGAAUACUUGGUGUAGCAGUGAAAUGCGUAGAUAUCAAGUGGAACACCAGUGGCGAAGGCGAGUCUCUGGACAUUUCCUGACGCUGAGGCACGAAAGCCAGGGGAGCAAACGGG
rnacentral:rRNA from 1 species